UGUGGAAUGGUUAUGAGGUGCUAGGUUCUAAGAGCACAGAGUGAAAUGGUUCAUGAAACGGUAUGACUUGAAGAUGUACAAGUCAACGGUCAAUCUGGUGGGACUGUUACAACCUAAAAUAUGGGCAGAUUACAGAUUGAUCAUGUCUGUUUUUUCUUGGAGAUGCUGAGGUUAUCUCAUAUAUUCAAGAAUUCUAACAUAAGCGGAUGACGCCCUUCCGCAUUCUGGAGCACCUACCUACCCUGAGGCCGAAUUGAAGUAGAAAGACAGUAACUAGGAUGGAGAGAUUGUAACAGUAACCUGUUCCUUCACCCAAGGAUGUACUUUUCCAGGCAAUUGCCACUCAACCUCACAGGGAUUUGGCUCAUGUGUACUUUGAAUGACUGUAUCACAGAAUUGCAAUAACCCCAUCAGAUAUUUGUGUGCAUAGGAGUUGCAUUCACCAGCAAUGGUAACGGCCGCCUGUGUGAGCAAAUGCCAACCUUGCCAGAGACUUCCAAAGACUGCAGGACAAAGAAUGCAUUUGACAAUUUAUCAAGGAUAUCUGGUCUUCGUUAAUUGAUCCAGAUGGAUUUUUGUCUACUUGCCCUGGAUAUCCUACUUUUAUAUUGUGUGAUUUUACAGUUGCCUUUUAUGCUGCCUUUGGAAGACUGCAUUUGAUGCAGCAAAGUGACUGCACCAGACUUGUCUUGAGUUGAGUCAGCAGAUGAAGCGCCUCUGAUUUAUGCUUCAGGCAUCUAUGAUGUCUCUGAGUGUCUUACAAGGAUAUCAUCAGCACUGACAUUUGCUUCAGGCUUGUCUGUGGACUACAUUUAAAUACUCUUCUGGAUUUUCUGGAUUUAUACCAUGGUCUAUACAUCUAUGAUGCCUCUGGUUGUCUGACAGCAAUAUCAUCAACCCCAUCAGCAGUUGCAAGUGUGUCCAGAGGGAAUGGACACUAAUGCUCUAAGAUUUAUUCUGUGCUUCAUAGCUUCAUGAUGUCUCUGAGCAUCUUACAAGAAUAUCAUCCACCCUGCCAUUGGCAGCAGGCUUUUCCUAUUGGAAUACUGCAUUUUCUUGCUCCUUUUGGAGCUCUCUAUCCAAUUGCCAUGAACUGAUGCAGGUGCCGUAGAUCCUUCAAAUUCAACGAAAAGGUGGUCAACAGGAAUCAAGACAAUGCUGCAUUUCUGGGUCUGCUUUUUAUAAAGGAUCUAGGAUUUCAAACAUACUAUGGACUUUCACAGCAAUGCAGAUGAUGAUGAAUACCAUAAGCAAGGUCGAAGUUCAAAUAAGUUUCAAGUUCGGUCAUAAGUUCAAGCAAGUUCAGAUGAGGAUUGCAGUUCAGAUUCCUUGUGCAAGGCUGAUUUGAAGAAAUUUCAGAGUGAGCAAGAUACUUGGUGCAACUGAGGUUUUGCGACCUUCUGGAGGUUGUUUCGUAGUCAGACAUGCAUGCAAAGAUCCAGAUGGAAAUGGAACCAAAAUGCUCGAGGAGAGUAACUCUAUCAGUACGUUACAGAAUGACAUGGAAGCCCUGACUUGGAUUUGAACCCCUGUCCCCGUGAUUGAGAGCAAUUGAAACCCAAUGAAGCUGAUUGAUCGAGACAACAAUGCUGGCUUUGAUGGUCAAAUAUAUUGUGCUUAAUUUAAGGUAAGAGAGAGAAGGAGAGUUAUUGGAAGGUGAAUA